UGAUUAUUUUUUUUCAUCGUACUGUAGUUCAUUUAUUUGCAUCGCGGACAGAUUGGAAAAUACAUAUGAACAUACCUGAACAUUUGUAUUCUCUAGUCUGAUAGAUGCAACUACUGCAAUCCUUUCCCUUCUUUAAAGCAGGAGAUGAUACAUUACCGCAAAUGUUGAGCUUCAUUUGGAGCACUUAAAGUACGAAGCCCAUUCAAAGCCCACUGUAAGAGUCCCCUUGAUUACAGCAAACUGUGAGUCAAACUGUAGGUGGUACAACUUUCUCAGGAGAUUUUCUUCGCUUGACAAUGGAUGUGCAGUUUGUUUAGCAGCUCGUGAAAUACAUCUUUACAAAACACAUCAUGAAGUGCCAAGAGGGAGUGCAUGUGACCAUAGGCUGCUCCAUCUACAAGAAAACUUGUUAUCCAGAACACGUGCCGUGUGAGUAAUUAAAAAACACAGGGUACCAUUGCUUGAGUCUCAGACUUUGCUCCUAAUUUUGGAGUUCUGUUUGUGGGCUGUGUUUGUGGCUCUCCUGUCUCAGGCAGGUAGAUGCAGAUCUGUGCCUCCUAAAACUGAACGAUGUGCCAAAUGUGGGCCCUUUGAGUAGGUUAUUGCCCUUCUCUGGUGACCGGCAUCUCACUGUUGAUAUUAGAUGAACCAAGAGAGCUGUCAUUAAUGAAGUGGUUAACAUGGAAGGAGAACUUGCAGGAUUAAUGCUCGACAAUCCAAUUAGAAAUAUUUGAAAGCUGGUUAUAAUAUCAUCCAGGAGGGGCUGCAUGCGUUCAUCUUUGAAAAAUCAGUUUAUUUGGAGACAGCUGAGGGUUGGCUGGUGCUCAAGGCAUCUCAGGUGCUCAAGCAAGUGUUCAUAGAUCAGCUUGCACUUGAAUUUCAUAGGAUUGUUUUUGUCUUCUCAUAGGACAAGGAGGAGACGCAUUAGAAAACAGGAUCUCAAUGAAUAAUGGGGUAGAAAUGAAUAUGCUUGGGAA
rnacentral:lncRNA from 1 species